AUCCAAGAGCUAUUGAUGCUCGGGGUCCGAUAUCUGGCCAGAGGGUGCCUGUGGCUGGUGGAAUGCAGGGUCCUCCCCCUCAUGGCAUAGGACAAAGUGCACCUCCAGCAGCGAGACCAGGUCCUACAUCAGAUGCGUCAUCACAAGACCACGAGAAAGCUGCCUUGAUUAUGCAGGUUCUGCAGCUGACCCCAGAACAGAUCG